rnacentral:snRNA from 16 species
GGCAUAAAUGGCCAAGGAUAGGUGAAGAUGGUUGGCAAUAAUGACAAAAGGGGUUGCGCCGGGGGGCGGUGGGGAUUUGGACCACAAAGUGGCCCAAAAACAAUC